rnacentral:rRNA from 1 species
CAGUCGCCACGGUAAGACAGAGGAUGCAAGCGUUAUCCGGAAUGAUUGGGCGUAAAAUGUCUGUAGGUGGCUUUUCAAGUCCGCCGUCAAAUCCCAGGGCUCAACCCUGGACAGGCGGUGGAAACUACCAAGCUAGAGUACGGUAGGGGCAGAGGGAAUUUCCGGUGGAGCGGUGAAAUGCGUUGAGAUCGAAAAGAACACCAACGACGAAAGCACUCUGCUGGGUCGACACUGACACUGAGAGACGAAAGCUAGGGGAGCAAAUGGGAUUAGAUACCCGCGUAGUCCCUGUCUCUUAUAC